rnacentral:rRNA from 1 species
GGCUUAGUGGUGGGGUGACUGCGUACCUUUUGUAUAAUGGGUCAGCGACUUAUAUUCUGUAGCAAGGUUAACCGAAUAGGGGAGCCGUAGGGAAACCGAGUCUUAACCGGGCGUUAAGUUGCAGGGUAUAGACCCGAAACCCGGUGAUCUAGCCAUGGGCAGGUUGAAGGUUGGGUAACACUAACUGGAGGACCGAACCGACUAAUGUUGAAAAAUUAGCGGAUGACCUGUGGCUGGGGGUGAAAGGCCAAUCAAACCGGGAGAUAGCUGGUUCUCCCCGAAAGCUAUUUAGGUAGCGCCUCGUGAAUUCAUCUCCGGGGGUAGAGCACUGUUUCGGCUAGGGGGCCAUCCCGGCUUACCAACCCGAUGCAAACUGCGAAUACCGGAGAAUGUUAUCACGGGAGACACACGGCGGGUGCUAACGUCCGUCGUGAAGAGGGAAACAACCCAGACCGCCAGCUAAGGUCCCAAAGUCAUGGUUAAGUGGGAAACGAUGUGGGAAGGCCCAGACAGCCAGGAUGUUGGCUUAGAAGCAGCCAUCAUUUAAAGAAAGCGUAAUAGCUCACUGGUCGAGUCGGCCUGCGCGGAAGAUGUAACGGGGCUAAACCAU